rnacentral:rRNA from 1 species
GACGAACGCUGGCGGCGUGCUUAACACAUGCAAGUCGAACGGAAAGGCCCUGCUUUUGUGGUGUGCUCGAGUGGCGAACGGGUGAGUAACACGUGAGUAACCUUCCCUUGACUGUGGGAUAACUUCCGGAAACUGGGGCUAAUACCGGAUAGGAGCUCCUGCUGCAUGGGGGGGGUUGGAAAGUUUCGGCGGUUGGGGAUGGACUCGCGGCUUAUCAGCUUGUGGGUGGGGUAGUGGCUUACCAAGGCUUUGACGGGUAGCCGGCCUGAGUGGGUGACCGGCCACAUUGGGACUACGGUACGGACCAGAGGCCUACGGGGGGCAGCAGUGGGGAAUAUGGUCCAAUGGGCGGGAGCCUGAUGCAGAAACGCCGCGUGCGGGAUGACGGUCUUUGGGUUGUAAACCGCUUUCGCCUGAGACGAAGCGGGAGUGACGGUAAUGGGUAAAGAAGCACCGGCUAACUACGUG